rnacentral:rRNA from 1 species
UGGGGAAUUUUCCGCAAUGGGCGAAAGCCUGACGGAGCAAUACCGCGUGAGGGAGGAAGGCUUUUGGGUUGUAAACCUCUUUUCUUAGGGAAGAAGAAAGUGACGGUACCUAAGGAAUCAGCAUCGGCUAACUCCGUGCCAGCAGCCGCGGUAAUACGGAGGAUGCAAGCGUUAUCCGGAAUUAUUGGGCGUAAAGCGUCCGCAGGUGGCACUUCAAGUCUGCUGUCAAAGACCAGAGCUCAACUCUGGGCAGGCGGUGGAAACUGGGGAGCUAGAGUACGGUAGGGGUAGAGGGAAUUUCCAGUGUAGCGGUGAAAUGCGUAGAGAUUGGAAAGAACACCAGUGGCGAAGGCGCUCUACUGGACCUGUACUGACACUAAGGGACGAAAGCUAGGGGAGCGAAAGGGAUUAGAUACCCCCGUAGUCC